AACCUGUUAACUAAUAAUAACUAUGUUCGAAUCACAUUAUAUCAUCGUUCGGUUUUAGAGGUAUUAGGGCUAUCCCCGCACCCAUAGAUGGCUCGUGCAUACGACACAAGCCGGAUCUCGAAGCAGCUAUUAUGAAAUGGGCAGUUCUAAUUUUUUCUUAGGAUGCCCCUACCCUCCGGAAAGUUCUUAGUUAUCGUGUUACACAGCAAUAGAUUUAGAAUUGUAAGC